UACGUAGGGUGCGAGCGUUGUCCGGAAUUAUUGGGCGUAAAGGGCUCGUAGGCGGUUUGUCGCGUCGGGAGUGAAAAUCCAGGGCUUAACUCUGGACUGGCUUCCGAUACGGGCAGACUAGAGGUAUGCAGGGGAGAACGGAAUUCCUGGUGUAGCGGUGAAAUGCGCAGAUAUCAGGAGGAACACCGGUGGCGAAGGCGGUUCUCUGGGCAUUACCUGACGCUGAGGAGCG
rnacentral:rRNA from 1 species